GCAAGCAGGCAGGGUGCAGGUCAGUGGUGGGAGUGAACUACUCAGGAACCUAAGGCCAAAGCAUGUAAGAUCUUGAUCACCCACAGAUAUCACUAUCCAGCAAUCCUGAUUCCAAAGCAUCUCCACAGAACGGUCUUACUUGCUGGAGUGCUUUGCUGUUUCUGUGCUACUUUGCAAUGAAGAUUCAUUACAUUUUCUUAACAUUUCUCCUCUUUGGCCUGCUGUCCAACUUAGAGUCAGGAACAUAGGCGGUACUAGAAGACGAGGAGAAUUCUGGGAAAGGUAGGCAGAGAGAGACCGUGAAGAGACACCAUGUAGCAGACAAAGGAGUAAGAGGUCCGGACCCUUCUCUGCAGCAGCAGGACCUGGUGGGACAAGAAACCUCCAGCUAUAGAAAGCAAGUGAGAACGAGGAAGUGAAGAUGUUCAUGAAGUAAUUAGUAUCCUGGACUGUAAGAAUCAAAUGUUGUGUAAUUCGGAAAAUACGGAUGGACACUGCUCUGAUGUUCAGAAUGUGGGGCUGUGUAUCUUACACCUUAAUCAAACUCAUCAGCUAGAGACCCUAGAGCCAGGAAUUCAAGAUGAUCAACUCCUUUGAUGCAUUAAAUUAGAAAGCCUGGUUUUCUGUCCUUCAUUUUCU